rnacentral:antisense_RNA from 1 species
UAUUCUUCCUUAGUAAAGUCACUUGACUGCUGACAGUCUGUUUCCUGGACUAUAAAACGAAGAUGCUAUGAAUACUGCUGAAGUGACUAACUGAUGACGUAUCAAUGUCAAACAUAAGUAUCGGUGAAAGAACUAUUUUGAAAUAAACAUCCUGGUUAAUCACUAAGGUCUAAGGAGGAAAACUGAAGAUGAAGUUCAACAGACCCGUCACUAGUGGAGCCUGGCUUUCUCCUUGGAGAGAGCAGUAACCAGACUCUACCUGUUACAAUGAGAAGCUGCACUCAGGAUAAUUAUGGCUCUGUAAACCAUCAGCAUUCAGCAGGCGGUAAUUGAAAUUUCAUAGGCUCAUUAGCAGGUGGGAGAGGUACUGUGGCUGAGAGCUGCCAGUUGAAUAGAUUGUACAGUAUUGCAAUUUGUCAUACGGCACUGUACUGCUACUAUGUUAAAAGGAAAGCAGGAAAAUAAAAGGUACUUUUUCUUAUACAAAAUGAAACACAGAA